AUCCUCUAGAGCACAGCACUCAUUUGCUUUGAGCAGACUCAACUUCAGAAUCCUUCUCAAUCCAACAGUCCAGGCUGCCAUCACCCAUCAGAAUGGGCAAGUGGUUUGCAACUCAUUUGCCAAGGUAGAGAAAAGGAGAGCAGGAAGAAAGAGGAAGGUAACAUUUUCUGAGCACCAACCAUAUGCCAAAUAGUGGCAUGUCAAGCAGAUAAAGACAAAUGAACAACCACCAGACCAGCAAACUUAUCUGAAUCCAGCUGCCCUUAGAGUAUGGCUGAGGCUUGGUUGAAGCCCAGAACUUAGCAAGAGUUAGAAGACGUCAUGGGACCGUAUUCCCAGUCACUCCAGGUUUGAGAAACAAUUCUACAACCACUCUUCUCCCAUCAAGCUAAUACACUUUGAGAAAAACUCAAGAUUCCAAGAAAUAGGCUCUUGGACACAAUUCUGUGGGGGAGCAAGUCCAAUGCUUAGACCAGUUAACCUUCUUCAUCAAAGUCACCCAGUGCUGAUUACCGGGAGAAGAACUGCAUCUUCUACUUUACAAAGAUCGAGUUCUCUGAGGGCUUAGGGAAAACUUUCCCUCUGAUGGAAGUAAGAGGAGGGAAAUUCAGGAUGCGAACUUCGAUUCUGCCUGAGAAUUGGACCUGGGCUCUUGGGCGUCUUUGGGGAAGAACUGCAAUUUCAAAGCUUCUGCCAAUUCUUUGUGCUGCUAAAAAUGGAAACCCAAAUUAGUCUGUGGGGGCCAAGGCUUUCUGGUGGAGAAAAAGUGCUUAAAUGAGCUUUUAUCUGUGCAAAAGGAAUGGAAAGCCUAGACAAGGAAACACUCAAGCUCUGUGUCUACCAAAAUAAAA